GAUGAAGAACGUAGCGAAAUGCGAUAAGUAGUGUGAAUUGCAGAAUUCAGUGAAUCAUCGAAUCUUUGAACGCACAUUGCGCCCCUUGGUAUCCCGAGGGGCAUGCCUGUUCGAGCGUCAUUUCACCACUCAAGCCUGGCUUGGUGUUGGGCGACGUCCCCUUUAGGGACGCGCCUCGAAACGCUCGGCGGCGCGGCACCGGCUUUAAGCGUAGCAGAAUCUUUCGCUUUGGAAGUCGGGGCCCCGCCUGCCGGAAUACUUACUUGUAAGGUUGACCUCGGAUCAGGCAGGGAUACCCGCUGAACUUAAGCAUAUCAAUAAGCGGAGGA
rnacentral:misc_RNA from 1 species